ACAAACGCUGGCGGCAUGCCUAACACAUGCAAGUCGAACGGACAGAACAGGGAAGCUUUUCGGAGUGGAACUGGAAAGUUAGUGGCGGAUGGGUGAGUAACGCGUGGACAACCUACCUUGUAAAGGGGAAUAACCUCGAGAAAUCGAAGCUAAUACCCCAUAAUAACCUUGCUUCGCAUGAAGUAAGGAGGAAAGGCGGCCUUAGCGCUGUCGAUACAAGAUGGGUCCGCGUCUGAUUAGCUAGUUGGUGAGGUAAAGGCUCACCAAGGCGACGAUCAGUAGCCGGCCUGAGAGGGUGAACGGCCACAUUGGGACUGAGACACGGCCCAAACUCCUACGGGAGGCAGCAGUGGGGGAUCUUCCGCAAUGGGCGAAAGCCUGACGGAGCAAUGCCGCGUGAGUGAAGAAGGCCUUCGGGUUGUAAAACUCUGUCCUUAUCGAAGAGAGAGUGUUGUAGUAACUGACAAUACUAGGACGGUAGAUGAGGAGGAAGCCCCGGCUAACUAUGUG
rnacentral:rRNA from 1 species